AUGCUGCUGCUGCUCAUCUCAAUACUGGGGAUGAUAUUUGCCCUGAGAGAUUCCAGAGGCCAGUCAGUGACCCAGCCUGAUGACCCUGUUUUGGUCUCUGAAGGAACCUCAUUGGAGCUGAAGUGUAACUAUUCCUACGGUGCAACUCCCUAUCUCUUCUGGUACGUCCAGUACCCCGGGCAAAGACCCCAGCUGCUCCUCAAGUCCUUUUCAGGGAACACCGUGGUUCAAGGCAUUAGAGGCUUCGUGGCUGAAUUUAGGAGCAGUGAUUUUUCCUUCAACCUGAGGAAAUUCUCAGCCCAUUGGAGUGACUCAGCUGAGUACUUCUGUGCACUGAGUGCCACAGUGCCUGGGACUGCAGGAGGAGUUGAACACAAACCACUCAUGGUAGUGGAGUUUUCAGACACUCACGAUCACUUUGUGUUUUAUUUUAAAUGA